rnacentral:tRNA from 1 species
AGGUUAUAGUUUAAAACAUAAAAUUGCAAAUUUUAAAAAGAUGUGAUCUAUCUCUAUUAUUUU